UACGUAGGGGGCUAGCGUUGUCCGGAAUUAUUGGGCGUAAAGCGCUGGUAGGUGGCUUGUUAAGUCGCGUGUGAAAGCUCCAGGCUCAACCUGGAAAGUGCGCGCGAAACUGGCGGGCUUGAGUGCCGGAGAGGGUCGCGGAAUUCCCAGUGUAGAGGUGAAAUUCGUAGAUAUGGGGAGGAACACCGGUGGCGAAGGCGGCCACCUGGACGGUAACUGACGCUGAGACGCGAAAGCGUGGGGAGCAAACAGG
rnacentral:rRNA from 1 species